GUGGGUAGCCCAGUGGUCAGUGCUUAGGUCUCAUAACCCGAAGGUCCUGGGAUCGAAUCCCAAUAGCGGCG
rnacentral:tRNA from 1 species